CCUACGGGUGGCAGCAGUGGGGAAUUUUGGACAAUGGGGGCAACCCUGAUCCAGCCAUGCCGCGUGUAUGAAGAAGGCCUUCGGGUUGUAAAGUACUUUUGUUAGGGAAGAAAAGGGAAGUGCUAAUACCACUUUUUGCUGACGGUACCUAAAGAAUAAGCACCGGCUAACUACGUGCCAGCAGCCGCGGUAAUACGUAGGGUGCGAGCGUUAAUCGGAAUUACUGGGCGUAAAGCGAGCGCAGACGGUUACUUAAGCAGGAUGUGAAAUCCCCGGGCUCAACCUGGGAACUGCGUUCUGAACUGGGUGACUAGAGUGUGUCAGAGGGAGGUAGAAUUCCACGUGUAGCAGUGAAAUGCGUAGAGAUGUGGAGGAAUACCGAUGGCGAAGGCAGCCUCCUGGGAUAACACUGACGUUCAUGCUCGAAAGCGUGGGUAGCAAACAGGAUUAGAUACCCUGGUAGUC
rnacentral:rRNA from 1 species